UCCGUAGGUGAACCUGCGGAAGGAUCAUUAACGAGUUUUGAAACGAGUUGUAGCUGGCCUUCCGGGGCAUGUGCACGCUCUGCUCAUCCACUCUACCCCUGUGCACUUACUGUAGGUUGGCGUGGGCUCCUUUGCGGGAGCAUUCUGCCGGCCUAUGUAUACUACAAACACUUUAAAGUAUCAGAAUGUAAACGCGUCUAACGCAUCUAUAAUACAACUUUUAGCAACGGAUCUCUUGGCUCUCGCAUCGAUGAAGAACGCAGCGAAAUGCGAUAAGUAAUGUGAAUUGCAGAAUUCAGUGAAUCAUCGAAUCUUUGAACGCACCUUGCGCUCCUUGGUAUUCCGAGGAGCAUGCCUGUUUGAGUGUCAUGGAAUUCUCAACUUAUAAAUCCUUGUGAUCUAUAAGCUUGGACUUGGAGGCUUGCUGGCCCUUGUUGGUCGGCUCCUCUUGAAUGCAUUAGCUCGAUUCCGUACGGAUCGGCCCUCAGUGUGAUAAUUGUCUACGCUGUGACCGUGAAGUGUUUUGGCGAGCUUCUAACCGUCCAUUAGGACAACUUUUUAACAUCUGACCUCAAAUCAGGUAGGACUACCCGCUGAACUUAAGCAUAUCAAUAAGCGGAGGA
rnacentral:rRNA from 1 species